GAUGAACGCUGGCGGCGUGCCUAAUACAUGCAAGUCGAGCGAACGGGCGAGAAGCUUGCUUCUCUGAUGUUAGCGGCGGACCGGUGAGUAACACGUGGAUAACCUACCUAUAAGACUGGGAUAACUUCGGGAAACCGGAGCUAAUACCGGAUAAUAUUUUGAACCGCAUGGUUCAAAAGUGAAAGACGGUCUUGCUGUCACUUAUAGAUGGAUCCGCGCUGCAUUAGCUAGUUGGUAAGGUAACGGCUUACCAAGGCAACGAUGCAUAGCCGACCUGAGAGGGUGAUCGGCCACACUGGAACUGAGACACGGUCCAGACUCCUACGGGAGGCAGCAGUAGGGAAUCUUCCGCAAUGGGCGAAAGCCUGACGGAGCAACGCCGCGUGAGUGAUGAAGGUCUUCGGAUCGUAAAACUCUGUUAUUAGGGAAGAACAUAUGUGUAAGUAACUGUGCACAUCUUGACGGUACCUAAUCAGAAAGCCACGGCUAACUACGUG
rnacentral:rRNA from 1 species